rnacentral:rRNA from 1 species
GACGAACGCUGGCGGCGUGCUUAACACAUGCAAGUCGAACGGAAAGGCCCUGCUUUUGUGGGGUGCUCGAGUGGCGAACGGGUGAGUAACACGUGAGUAACCUGCCCUUGACUUUGGGAUAACUUCAGGAAACUGGGGCUAAUACCGGAUAGGAGCUCCUGCUGCAUGGUGGGGGUUGGAAAGUUUCGGCGGUUGGGGAUGGACUCGCGGCUUAUCAGCUUGUUGGUGGGGUAGUGGCUUACCAAGGCUUUGACGGGUAGCCGGCCUGAGAGGGUGACCGGCCACAUUGGGACUGAGAUACGGCCCAGACUCCUACGGGAGGCAGCAGUGGGGAAUAUUGCACAAUGGGCGGAAGCCUGAUGCAGCAACGCCGCGUGCGGGAUGACGGCCUUCUGGUUGUAAACCGCUUGCGCCUGUGACGAAGCGUGAGUGACGGUAAUGGGUAAAGAAGCACCGGCUAACUACGUG